AAUUCAAAUAAAGCUUAGCUGGAUAAGCAGGAGUUGCACGUGUGGUUUACUCGGUCAUGAGUUAUCUGUUUAGAUUAAGUAUUAUCUUUGUUUAGAUUUAGUAUUCUCUGGUUUUAUUAUUAUUUAGUUAUUUUCUUAGUUGUAUUUCAAGCCAGUCGGCCUCAUGAAUGAAGUAUUCCAUUUUGUGAGCAAAUAUCAAUUGUUACUUCUUUCAAAUUGGAAUCAGAACGAAACACUUCCACAAAAAGGAAGCAACUAUGAAUGACGAUAAGGUGAAGGUUCCAGUCUUCGAUGGUCACUAUGAGCACUAGAGUGAGAUGAUGGAAAAUUUGUUGUAGGUGUGGAACCUAACAGAUCUCGGAAUCAGAGAGCCGGCGGUCGGGAUCUCUCAGAGCGAAGCAAAAAAGAAGAAGCUGGAAGAAUUGCGAACGAAAGACUUACAAGUCAAGCACUACUUGUAUCAAGUGAUCAAUCGAGUAACCUUUGAGCAAAUCUUGGAUAGGAAGACAUCCAAAUAAGUGUGGGAUUCCAUGAAUCAUAGGUUCGUCGGGAAUGAAGGAGUGAAGAUAUCGAUGUUGCAAAAGCUCCGAAGAGACUUUAAAGUGCUCGAGAUGAAGGAUAAUGAAUCUAUACCUGAUUAUUUCGGUAGGGUUUUGGUGAUAUCGAAUCAAAUGAGAAGCAAUGCGCAGUCGAUGACUGAUUGCAAAAUAGUUGAAAAAAUCCUCAGAACUCUAACUAAUAAGUACAUGUACGUGGUGGUCUUGAUUGAAGAAUCAAAAAACAUUGAGGAGAUGUCCAUUGAAGAACUGCAGAGCACCUUGGUGGUUCACGAACAAAAAUUUAAAAGGGUAGGGAAGGAUGAUGAUCAAGCACUGAAGGGAGAGGCAAGUCUCUGUCCAAAUGGUCGUGGAAGAGGAAGAGGUCGAUCCAAUAAUAGAGGAAAAGGAUGAGGUCGCGGACGUUUGUCAUUCAACAAAGAGACAAUAUAAUGCUAUAAUUAUCACAAGUUGGGACAUUAUUCAUACAAAUGUCCUCAUACCAAAGAAGCCAAUUAUGUUGGUUUUGAUGAGAAUGAGGAAGUGAUGCUUAUGGCUGAGAUAGAUGUGGAGGAAACAACUUUCAUGACAGAUAAAAGUAACAGAAGCAAAGGAAUGUUGUGGUUUCUAGAUGCAGGUUUUUCCAAUCAUGUGUGGAAAUAAAGAGAGAUUUGUCGAUCUAGACUCUGGAUUCUCAAACUCUGUGAAGCAGGGCAAUAACACACGUAUGAAUGUGAUUGGAAAAGGGAGUGUGAAACUGUUCCUAAAUGGAUCAAUGUUUGUAAUAAAUGAUGUCUACUAUGUCCAGGACCUCAAGAACAAUCUCCUCAGCAUAGGACAACUCUAACAAAAGGGGUUGUCUUUUCUCUUCCAACAAGAUGUAAGUAAGGUGUUUCACCAAGAAAAGGGUUUGAUUUUCAAAUCAUACAUGAGCACUAAUAGGAUGUUCCCAAUAAGUGAAGAAACAGAUGCAGUCACGAAACAGAAGACAAAAGGAUGUAUGUACACAAGUGAUGAAGAUAGUGCUAAGUUAUAGCAUGAAAGGAUGGGUCAUCAUGGCAAUUGAGGCAUGGAGAUACUUCAAGUGAAAGGAAUGGGUCAUCUUGGCAUAAGGGUUUGAUAUAUCUAUUGCCAAAAAAGUCUCAAGCUUUUGAAAUCUUCAAGCAAUUCAAGAAGAAAGUAGAAGCUAAAACGGGAAAGGUCGUCAAAGCACUUCGAACAGAUAGAGGUGGUGAAGACUUAUAUGAUGAAUUCAAGACAUUUUUCUUAGAGCAUGGUAUCAAAAGGCAACACACAACCAGUUAUUCACCCCAACAGAAUGGGGUAGCUGAACGGAGAAACACAAUUUUCAUAAAUAUGGUCGUAUCAAUGAUUGCAGCCAAAAAAAAUGCCAAAGAAAUUUUGGGGAGAGGCAACAGUAUGGAGUUUUUAUGUCUUAAACAGGUGUCCCACUAAGCCCUCACAAACAUGACACCACAAGAAGCUUGGAUUGGGAUGAAACCAAUAGUCAGCCACUUUCAUGUUUAGGGAUGCCUAUCAUAUGUUUAUAUCCCUAAAUAGAAAAGAACUAAACUCAAUGCAAAAAGUUCAAUUUGUAUUUUGACAGGAGUCAGUGAAGAAUCAAAGGCAUAUAGGUUGGUAGGUCCACACACACAUAAAGUUGUUAUAAGCAAAGAUGUCAUCUUUGAAGAACACAAGUCUUGGACUUGGAAUCAAGCUGAAGAUGGAGAAUAUGGGCAAGAAAUCAUAUAGGGUGAUUAUGAAUUCAUUGAUGAUGACUAUGAGUUUGUAAAUACUCAUCAUCUUGAUCAAGAUCAUGAAGUGAUGCAAGAUGAAAACACAAAUCAACACUCUAGUCCCAUGAUUACUGAAUCUGCUACUGGUCCUAGCAUUCCAGCAAUCGAAGAAAGGAAGAACUCAGAGACUAAGAAGACCACCUACUUACUUAUCUGAUUAUUUUGUAGGUGAUGAGGAAGAAGUAGAAUUCGAUGAAGAUGAGAUGAUGUCCGCUGAUCUCAUACACCAAGACCCUGUGCAUUAUGAAGAGGCAGCUGAGGAUGAGAGGUGGAAGAAAUCCAUGGAUCUUGAAAUUUUUGGUAUUGAGAAAAAUCAAACAUGGCAGCUGGUAGACCUGCCAAAAGGGGCCAAAUGCAUUGGUGUUAAGUGGGUUUUCAAGACAAAGCUCAAUGAAAAGGGUGAGAUUAAGAAACACAAAGCAAGGCUUAGUUGUGAGGGGAUAUAGCCAAGAGUAUGGCGUUGACUAUGAAGAGGUAUACGCCCCAAUUUCUCGAAUGGAUACAAUUUGAUUAAUAAUUUCUCUUGUUGCUCAAAAGGGAUGGAACAUUUACCAACUAGAUGUAAAGUUAGCUUUCCUCUAUGGAAACCUGGAAGAAGAAGUGUAUGUGCAAUAACCACAAGGUUACGUACAAAAGAAUCAAGAACACAAAGUUUACAAACUCCAAAGGGCUCUAUACAUGCUUAAACAAGCCCCUAGGGCAUGGUUCAGCCGAAUUGAAGCAUAUUUUGUCAAGGAAGGUUUCACUAGAAUUAGAUCUGAACACACUAUGUUCAUCAAAAUGACACCAGAUGGAAGUUGUCUUUUUGUUAACAUUUAUGUUGAUGACCUCCUAUACACAGGUAACAAUGAGCAGAUACUGGAAAAUCUCAAAUUCUCAAUGAAAAUGGAGUUUGAAAUGAUGGACCUAGGGAAGAUGAGAUACUUCCUAUGAAUAAAAGUUCUGCAAACCACAACUGGAAUACAUAUUUCAUAGCAAAAGCAUGCAAUAGAGAUGCUAACACGGUUCAACAUGUUGGAUUGCAAUGCAGUCAUCAAUCCGAUUGUUCCUGGGUGUAAGUUGAAAUUAGAAGAAGGCGAGCCUGUGGAUGAAGCAAAAUUCAAAAGCUUAGUGGGAAGCUUAAUGUAUAUCAUAGCUACAAGGCCAUACAUUUAGUUUGUAAUAAGCUAGAUCAUUCGUUUCAUGUCUAAACCCACCACUACUCAUUUCAUAGUAUCAAAGAGGGUGUUACUCUAUCUACAGGGUACUUUGUACUAUGGUAUCUGGUACAAGAAGGGAGGAAGUGGUUCAAUGGAAGUAUUUACAGAAAGUGACUUCUCUGGAGAUUGGAAUGACCGAAAAAGUACUUAUGGGUACUUAAUUUUGUUGGAUGGGGCAGCGGUCUCCUGGUCAUCAAAGAAACAGAGCAUCGUUGCACUGUCUUCGACUGAAGUAGAAUAUGUGGCAGCAGCAGCUUGUGCCUAUCAAGUGGUGUGGAUUCGAGGAAUUCUUGAAGAACUCGGAAUUAAACAAGGAAAGGGAACAGUGAUCAGGUGUGACAACACAUCUACAACUAAGCUCUCGAAGAAUCCAAUGUUUCACGGCCGAUACAAGCACAUAGGAGUAAAAUUUCAUUUUCUUUGAGACCUGGUUGGAAAAGGAAUAAUCGAGUUAAAACAUGUUGGAACGAAGGAGCAAGUAGUAGACAUCUUCACAAAACCUCUGCAUCCAAACUAAGAGAGAAGCAUGGAGUAUGUUCAUCGGAGGACAAACAAGACGUGAUUGUCUAGUUUGGGGGAAAGUUUGUUGGGUUAUUUACCUUUUGCAAAUAAAAGAAUUCAAAUAAAGCUUAAAUAGAUAAACAGGAGUUGCAUGUGUGGUUUACUCGGUCAUUAGCUAUCUGUUUAGAUUGAGUAUUAUCUCUGUUUAGAUUUAGUAUUCUCCAAUUUUAUUGUUAUUUAGUUAUUUUCUUAGUUGUAUUUAAAGCCAGUCGGCCGCAUGAAUGAAGUAUUCCAUUUUGUGAGCAAAUAUCAAGUGUUAGUUCUUUCACAAAUAAGCAACAUAACAAACAUAGUAAUAGAUAAAUAAAGAUUCAUUUCACUUUUUAUGUAUGUAACUGUUGGUAGAUACAUAGUUUUCAAACCAUUAAUACCAAGAUUGAGGCACUUGUUUGAGACCAUAUAAUGAUUUCUUGACAAAGAACACAUAAUUUAGAUAGGAGUGACCUCGAAAUUGCAGAGCUUGAUACAUAUAUAUAUUAUCUCAUAAAAAUAACUAUUAAGAAAUGUGUUUUUUACAUCUAGUUGGUGAAUUGUUAAUGAUUUGAGAUCGAUAUACUUAAGACUAUGCUUAUUUGUCAUAGCUUUAAACACAUGGCUAAUUUUUCAUUACAAUCUAUUCCAAGUUGUUAUGAUUUCUCAUCACCAAAAAAUCACACUUUAUUCAACAUUGUAACUUGUUGAUUAUAGUUUAUGGAAAGAGGGAGUGACAUAGACAUCAGUGAUUUCAUAUAAGUUGGAUUUCAUUUUUAAUGUAUCUGUGUUCAUAAUUUUAGUGAUAAUUUUGGAGGAUAUGAUAUGAAUAAGGAAGGUAGACAUUCAUAAGGCAUGGUACCAAAAAUUGGUAGACACAUGAGAAUGGGAUGAUAAAGUAUGGAUGAUGUUUGUUGAGUACUCUUACCAUGCGUUCGGAUUUACCACUUAUGGGAAGAGAUGUAUGGACAAGAAAAAUGGAAUUCAUGCCAUUAUUAUAAUAAAACUGAGCAAAUGAGUGAUUAUUGUACUUAGUACUAUUAUCACAUUAGAAAGUUUCUAUCAAUUUUUCAAAAUCGUUCUAAAAAAUGUUUCUUAAGUCUAGAAAAGGGGAACAUACUUGAGGUUUAUGAAAAGCGGAAAAUUCCAAAGAAAUUUUGAGAAAUCAUCAAGGAAAAAUAUGUAAAAAAGAUAUCCCCUAAACCUAAAGUACGGCAGUGUAACACCCCGUUCUUUAAGUGUGUGACUAUGAGUCCCCGAGAAUUUAGAGGAAGGUUAAUUCUGGUCCUUUUGCGAGAAAUGAGUUUCAUCCGAGAAGGUUUCGAGCUGGUAUAUGUGUUAGUGGUAUUGGGCUUCUCGUUGCCCUCGCAUGAAUGUAACGUUAUUUGGGAGCAGGCUUAGAUUAGAGGAGUUGAGGUGUUUUGAAGUUGAUCAUUGUUCAUAGCCCUUUGUGUAAUGAGAAGGAGAUGGUCCCAUGCAUGCAUGUCAUGCAUGCAUGCUUUUGGUUUUGAAGGUGGCUGGGUACGCCCAGCGUAAGCUGGACGUACGCCCAGCGUAAGUGUAUGAUUGAUGCGCAUUGGCCGGGUGAGUACGCCCAGCGUACUCUCAGAAACUCCAAACCCUAAUUUUGGGUUAGCCACUAUAUAAGGAACAUGUUUGUUCACCCCUCAGCCUCCUUAUACUCAUCUUCAACCUCAGAGAACCCUAAAACUCGUAUUCCCUCCAUAGUUGAGAGUGUUUGAUCUUGGGAAGCUCUUGUUGGCAAAAGAAAAGCUUGAAGGAGAAAAGGGAAGUUGUCAAGGAAGAAGAAGAAGAACGUGUGGAGCUUGUAGAUCUGAAGUAAUAACACCCUUUGGAGCUGGUUUAAGGUAUAAAGCUUCUUGCUUGACCUUCAUAUUGCAUAGAUCUUUGUAUUUUGAAGCUUUGUUAUCAUUCUUGUCCCAAAAGUCCUCAUCUUGUUGCAUAGUUCGAUUUGGUCAAGAUUAUCUGUCCUUUCAGACCUUUGGAGAGGUCUUGAAUGAUAAAAAUGAGGUCCCAAGGGCUGUAGUUGUUUCUUGUAUGAGUUAUAUAGGUCUUAAUGGAUUAAGACCUUGGAUUUGGAGCUUAAGGACGUCCCAAGUGAUAAAGUCUGAGACUUUAUGAUUUCCAAUCAUAUUUGGCCUAUGGAUCUGGAGUUUGGGCUUAAGAGCUUAAGCCAUUAAGAUGUUAAAGGACUUAAUGGAUCUCGCAGUUACGCCCCGCGUAGCGGGCCAAUGUCCCGUUUUCUUUUGGCGAUCAUUGCAGUACGCCCAGCGUACCAAGGAGAGUACGCCCAACGUACUCCUCCUGUGGACUUCCUUUUGGGCUUUUGUGUUAGGCCAUUUGUUGGUUGUUGGUGUUUGGGCCAAGUCUGGAAACUAUGAAUAGAGUAUUGUGGGCCCAAUUAAUAUUAUGGAUAUUGGAUCUAGGUCCAUUUGGUGAGGUGGGCCCAAUUUGGUAAAUUGGGCCAAUGUUGGACUUUGUGUGAGUUUUGGACUUUGGUCUUGGCCCGAUUUGUGGUAGUAUGUUUGACCUUAUGCUUAUGCUUGUUAAGUUGGUCAGUUCGGGAUUUGCGGUGAGUUGGUGGUCCGAGAGUCUGCUUCUUCAGUUCAGAGUUUCGGCAGUGCGAGGUGAGUUAUCCUCACUAUAUCAACAGGGUCUAAGGUACCAAGGCCGGCCCUUAUCGGAUUGAGAUCCUGGUAGUUGUUGUUAUGUUGUUACUGUGAUAUGUUUGCAUCCUGAGAGCUAGGAUGGUAUAUGUUAGAGACCUGAUUGAGAUCGGUAUUCUGAGAGAUAGGGAGAUGCUAUGCUAGUGACCUGUUAGGUCGGUAUCCUGGUUAGGAUGAUGAUAUGCUAUGUGAUCUGUUUGAUCGGCUUGUUGAUUGCGAACUGGUAUUAUAUGAUUAUGUGCACAUGGUUGUUUGGACUGGAGACGGGUUGAGGCGGGUCCUGCUUUGUGCUGUAGGCCAAGAUACCUAGGGCGGACCGGUUGUCCCGAAGGCCCAGCGAGCGGUCCGGAUAGGCUGUAGGCCCCAAGAGGGCGGACCAGACGUGCCGAGGCUCGGAGAGUGGACCAGGCAGACUGAAGGCCCGGUGCGGGCGGACCAGUCAUACUGUAGACUCAGAGAGUGGACCAGGUGGAUUGAAGGCCCGGUGCGGGCGGACCAAUCACACUGCAGACUCGAUGUAUAUGGCUAGACACGGAGGGUGGACCAGGUGGACUGUUGGCCGGUGCGGCGGACCAGUCACACAGUAGACCCGAAGUGCAUGGCUGUUCUGUGAUCGGAUAUGUUAUGGCAUGUUAUGCGUGUAUGGUAUAUGUGGUUGGUAUUUUGGGGAUAUCUCACUAAGCUUUCGGGCUUACAGUUGUGGUUUUAUGUUUUUCAGGUUCUUCAGGAGACCGUGGCAAGGCGAAGGCGUGAUCGUACCGCUCCUCAUGAUUUUGUAGUAAUGUGAUUCUGGGAAUACGUUAAAUGUUUUGUAUUGAAAACCUUUUUGUAAAGAUUUAAUGGAAUCGAGCUGUUUUUGAAAAAUUUAAAAUUGGUUGUAUUUUUCGGUCGUUACAAGUUGGUAUCAGAGCCUUGGUUUGAGUGAAUUGGAGGAACACUCGUGUGACUCCAGUCUCAAAUCGAGGAGAGUUUUCAAAAGAGAAUUUAAAAUGGUUUUCAAAAUGAGUAAGGGAGGACGCGGAGGUACGAUCAGCCGGAGCCAGUAAGUAACCCCAAAAUACCAUGCAUGUUAUUUGUUUUUGAGCUUUGAUAGAACAGCAUGCUAGUGAUAGGCUAGGGAUCUUCAGGAUUUCAUGAUAAUGUUGCCUGAUUUGUGAUGCCUGUAGCCUAGGGUUCCUUAUGGGAGAUUUUCAGUGUUCCUCUAGUGGUGAGGGUUGAGCGUUGUUAUGCAUGUUUCUCUAGGGUGUUGUGGUAGUACUUCAUACAAAUAUGGGUAGGUGUGGAAGGUAGUAUGGGCCCGUACUACUGAAAGCACAGGACCCAUACGCGUAUCAGGGAAACCAUGAUCUCGAGGGUUGGGUUGAGAGAGAGUUGGAUUCCAGGAUAGUGGGAAGAGUCUAAGUUUUGUGUGGUGUUUUUCAGUAUGGAGAUUCCGAGGCAUGGUGAGAGUGGAUUUGGAUCAGGAUCGGGAGCAGGAGAGAGAGUUCCGGGCAGAUCGGUACCGCCCGAGGUUAUCGGUCAGAUGAGCACGGGUGAGUUGGAUGCGAGGAUUCGUGAGAUCCUGCGUGAGGAGAUUGCUGAGUUGUUCCGGGCUGAGUUGCCAGAGCUGUUUGGGUCGAUUAAGACCGCCAUGGUUGAGUAUUUCGAUGAGCGCUAUGCAGCUCUCACAGAGACGGCUGCCGCGGCGGCUACAGCGGCUGUAGCAGCGGCAGGGGGAGGAGCUAGUCGGGGUUUUCAGUAUCGGGACUUCGAUAAUACGAAGCCUCCCACCUUCGAUGGAGUUCAGGACCCGAUUGUUGCUAUGAGGUGGUUAUCAGACGUGGAGGGGUGUUUCUUCACGUGUUCAUGCCCUGCUGAUUAGAGGGUGAGGUGUGCUCUGAACCUGUUGAGGCUCGGGGCGAAGGAUUGGUGGAGAUUGACCACGGGGUCAUAUUCGGAUGCGCAGAGGGCUGCGGUUUCAUGGGAUCAGUUCAGAGAGAUGUUCAGCACUCGUUAUGUUCCGCAAGUUGAGAGGGAGAGAUUGGCUCAGGAGUUCCUUGAGCUGAAGCAGGGUUCGGAGUCGGUGACUGAGAUCACCAGGAUGUUCACUGAGAGGGCGAUGUUUUGCCCAGAGUUCGCUUCGGAGCAGGCUCAGAUGUCUCGAUAUCUGAGCAUGCUCAAGAGGGACAUCAGACAGUUUGUGUCUGCUCAGAGGUGCGAGACCUUGCUGGAGUUGCAUGAGGUCGCUAGGCGGCGUGAGUUAGAGAUUGACUUGCAGUUGCGUGAGCUGAGGCAGGCUCCGGUGCAGUCGCAGCCGGCGCCGAAACAGUCCAAGACCGUUGAUGUUAGAGUGGGGGAUCUGAGCAGCCACACUUGUGGGAUGUGUGGGAGGGGUCACACCGGAGUUUGUAGGUCCGGUGGUGCAUGCCGCAAGUGCGGAAAGGAGGGGCACUAUGCGAGGGAUUGUUGGCAGUUAGCGCCGGUUCGAGAUUUGAGGAUUUGUUAUCAUUGUCAUCAGGUUGGACAUUUGAGGGUCAACUGUCCACAGCUUGUUGCAGGACCGGUGCAGGCUCCAGCACCGGCCACUUUGAGGAUCACAGGUGGAGGUCAGGGUGGAGCGGAGCCCCCAAGGGCUCAGGGUCGUGCUUAUCAGCUUGCGGCAGAGGAGGUCAGAGCAGUGACGGAUGCAGCUGCGGGUAUGUUUCUUUCUUGAUAUCUUGUUAUCUUGUGAUUAUUGUGGUGUAUUGUUUAUGUGCUGGUAUUUUGUUUGGUUUUCGAUGUGGUAUUCAUCGUUUUGAGAGUUUUGGGUUGGUUAUGGGUUAUUGUAUUGGGAAUUUCGUGGUUAUCAUUCAUGAGGGUUAUUAGUGGAAACCUGGCAUUGGGUUGAGGGCCGGGUAGCAUCUGCUUUCUGAGGAGUGGUUAGAUGCAGGUUGAGUUUCUUUCGAGUGGGUUACCAGUGUUGAUGUGGGAUCUUGUCAAGGUUGUUUAUGCCUGUGUAAAUCAGUCCGCGUGUAAGUGUUGGUUUUGUGCAGAGUUGUUCUGGGAGGUCGGUGAUGGCAACCAGUGGUUGUUAAUCAGUGCUACAAGUAGGGGAGAAUUGGAAAAUUCUCCGGGAGAUCGAUGAGUAUUUGAGGAUGCUUAGCUGUUGGGAUUUAGCAGCGUUCUGUCAGCCCAGAGUAUAGGCUGGUAGGAGCAAGUGUCGGUGCGGGGCGGAAUACAAACCUAGGGCAUUCGAUUGUGGAGGGCCUGGGAGCAGGCCGGGAUCGAGCAUGUGCGAUUGAGACAGAGUUCGGAACCCUUAAAGAGCUAGAACAGUAUGCAUGGGAGGAUUUCUGGGAGAGAUAGCUCGGAUUGAUGAUUGCUAGUUGAGCGGUCCGGAUAGACUGAAGGCCGGUAGGCGUACCAGUCAGGCCGAAGGCUCGGAGAACGGUCCAGCCAAACUGAAGGCACUGGGAGCGGUCCAGAUUGGCUGAAGGUUCUGAGAGUGGUCCAGAUUGGCUGAAGGCCUGGUGAGGCGGUCCAGUCAUGCUGAAGACUCUGCAGGUAUUGUUGGAUCGGUUCGAGGAUGUGGAUUGUGUAUGUUGCAGUGUGAUUGCAUUAGAAGGUCUGGCCCCGGGUAGUGACCUUGAUUAGUUGAGAUAGUGCAUGGGCUUGAGAGUCCCUGCGAUGAGAGUCAGAGUAUGGGUGUUGGAUGGAUAGCGGAUGCGCUAUAAAAAGGGUGGUGUAGCGUUGGGCAAGCACCGUGACACUUGUCAGAGUGACAAUGUGGUCAAAUGGGUUCCUUGGAAAAGGAAAAGAGAGAGAGGUGUGUAACUCCGAGAGGGGGUGCAAGUUCACGGAAGUGAAAGCGGCAGAGCAGAGUUACGAUUAGAGUAAUUUGAGUAUGGUUAUUGAGCAGCGUGUGUGCGGCAGUGGAAUAGAAGCUCAUCCGGUUUAAGAUGUUUGCUGAUGUUGCGGAAGGAAUUCCGUAGGUGUAGAGCCCAGAGGCUCGGAAGGGAUGCAGGGAGAGAGUCUUGGUCUCUUGGUGUGAUUCUGAUCAGGGUAUUGAGUAUGUAUUAGUGGUUCACUCUGGGGGAUAUUUGAGGAUAUCAUCAGUAUAUCGGGUUUUCCUAACCCAAGGACGCGAGAGCCAGUUUGGUGCGGUUAUGAGAUUGCGGUGGAGAACUCGCGGGAGUUGCUCUAGGGUUGAAGCUUGUGUCAUCCUAUCGGCAAGAAGGAUAAAGUGGGUUUCGGAUUUCGAUGCUUGAAUCUUGGUUAGCCUGGUUCGAGGACGAAGCCUAAUUUAAGUGGGGGACAAUUGUAACACCCCGUUCUUUAANAAUUUAGAGGAAGGUUAAUUCUGGUCCUUUUGCGAGAAAUGAGCUUCAUCCGAGAAGGUUUCGGGCUGGUAUAUGUGUUAGUGGUAUUGGGCUUCUCGUUGCCCUCGCAUGAAUGUAACGGUAUUUGGGAGCAGGCUUAGAUUAAAGGAGUUGAGGUGUUUUGAAGUUGAUCGUUGUUCAUAGCCCUUUGUGUAAUGAGAAGGAGAUGGUCCCAUGCAUGCAUGGCAUGCAUGCAUGCUUUUGGUUUUGAAGGUGGCUGGGUACGCCCAGCGUAAGCUGGACCUACGCCCAGCGUAAGUGUAUGAUUGAUGCGCAUUGGCCGGGUGAGUACGCCCAGCGUACUCUCAGAAAUUCCAAAUCCUAAUUUUGGGUUAGCCACUAUAUAAGGAACAUGUUGGUUCACCCCUCAGCCUCCUUAUACUCAUCUUCAACCUCAGAGAACCCUAAAACUCGUAUUCCCUCCAUAGUUGAGAGUGUUUGAUCUUGGGAAGCUCUUGUUGGCAAAAGAAAAGCUUGAAGGAGAAAAGGGAAGUUGUCAAGGAAGAAGAAGAAGAACGUGUGGAGCUUGUAGAUCUGAAGUAAUAACACCCUUUGGAGCUGGUUUAAGGUAUAAAGCUUCUUGCUUGACCUUCAUAUUGCAUAGAUCUUUGUAUUUUGAAGCUUUGUUAUCAUUCUUGUCCCAAAAGUCCUCAUCUUGUUGCAUAGUUCGAUUUGGUCAAGAUUAUCUGUCCUUUCAGACCUUUGGAGAGGUCUUGAAUGAUAAAAAUGAGGUCCCAAGGGCUGUAGUUGUUUCUUGUAUGAGUUAUAUAGGUCUUAAUGGAUUAAGACCUUGGAUUUGGAGCUUAAGGACGUCCCAAGUGAUAAAAUCUGAGACUUUAUGAUUUCCAAUCAUAUUUGGCAUAUGGAUCUGGAGUUUGGGCUUAAGAGCUUAAGCCAUUAAGAUGUUAAAGGACUUAAUGGAUCUCGUAGUUACGCCCCGCGUAACCUUCGAGUACGCCCCGCGUAGCGGGCCAAUGUCCCGUUUUCUUUUGGCGAUCAUUACAGUACGCCCAGCGUACCAAGGAGAGUACGCCCAGCGUACUCCUCCUGUGGACUUCCUUUUGGGCUUUUGUGUUGGGCCAUUUGUCGGUUGUUGGUGUUUGGGCCAAGUCUGGAAACUAUGAAUAGAGUAUUGUGGGCCCAAUUAAUAUUAUGGAUAUUGGAUCUAGGUCCAUUUGGUGAGGUGGGCCCAAUUUGGUAAAUUGGGCCAAUGUUGGACUUUGUGUGAGUUUUGGACUUUGGUCUUGGCCCGAUUUGUGGUAGUAUGUUUGACCUUAUGCUUAUGCUUGUUAUGUUGGUUAGUUCGGGAUUUGCGGUGAGUUGGUGGUUCGAGAGUCUGCUUCUUCAGUUCAGAGUUUCGGCAGUGCGAGGUGAGUUAUCCUCACUAUAUCAACAGGGUCUAAGGCACCAAGGCCGGCCCUUAUCGGAUUGAGAUCCUGGUAGUUGUUGUUAUGUUGUUACUGUGAUAUGUUUGCAUCCUGAGAGCUAGGAUGGUAUAUGUUAGAGACCUGAUUGAGAUCGGUAUUCUGAGAGAUAGGGAGAUGCUAUGCUAGUGACCUGUUAGGUCGGUAUCCUGGUUAGGAUGAUGAUAUGCUAUGUGAUCUGUUUGAUCGGCUUGUUGAUUGCGAACUGUUAUUGUAUGAUUAUGUGCACAUGGUUGUUUGGACUGGAGAAGGGUUGAGGCGGGUCCUGCUUUGUGCUGUAGGCCAAGAUACCUAGGGCGGACCGGUUGUCCCGAAGGCCCAGCGAGCGGUCCGGAUAGGCUGCAGUCCCCAAGAGGGCAGACCAGACGUGCCGAGGCUCGGAGAGUGGACCAGAUAAACUGAAGGCCCGGUGCGGGCGGACUAGUCACACUGUAGACUCAGAGAGUGGACCAGGUGGAUUGAAGGCCCGGUGCAGGCGGACCAAUCACACUGCAGACUCGAUGUAUAUGGCUAGACACGGAGGGUGGACUGAAGGCCGAUACGGCGGGCCAAUCACACAAUAGACCCGAUAUGCAUGGUUGUUCUAUGUUUUGUUAUGUUAUGUGUGUUAUUCAUGUUAUGGGCCGGAAGGCAAUAUGUUCUGGAUCGGAAGGUCGUAGCCUGGAAGGGCGUAUAUGUGGUUGGUAUCUUGGGGGUAUCUCACUAAGCUUUUGGGUUUACAGUUGUGUUUUAAAUGUUUUUCAGGUUCUUCAGGAGACCGUGGCAAGGCGAAGGCGUGAUCGUACCGCUCCUCAUGUUUUUGGUCGCGAUGUGAUUCUGGGAAUACUUUAAAUAAUUUGUAUUGAAAACCUUUUUGUAAUGAUUUUAAU
rnacentral:lncRNA from 1 species